CAGUGAAAUACACUAUGGUUACAAACGGUACUAUAUACUACUUUUAACCUUUAUCUUCACAUAUUUCAAUUUGUCCAAUGUUGGAAUAACAAAGAUUGUUUGGCGAAUGGUUGAUUUUGGAAAAUUAUACAAUAUAACUACUGUGAAAUGACAUAUAAUGGUUGAGGAAAACUCGUUAACGAUGGGUUGUCUCACAAGGCCUGGAGGGACAUUUCAGAUUACUGGAACAAACUAAGAUCCCAUCAUGACAUUUGCUGUGAGGCAUUGAGCAUGCCUCACCAUAAUAUCCUCUGCAACACGUUGACAAGGCCUCAUGUCAUCUGUGACCCAUUGAUCAGACCCCAAUGUGCUGUUCUUUGCAGCAAUGACCAGACACCUCUAUGAUGCCCGCUGCGAGACAUUGAGCAGCUGCCAUUUAACUGGUGUGAAAUAAUUACCAGCAAAGCAUCCACAAAGUGAAUUCCUCCAAAGAGACGUGCCUUGCGAUCAAAUGGGUGCAUGAUGAGGGUAUAUGAGAGGAUAUUUUAAUAGAAAUGCAAUUCUGGAAAUCAAAAUGUGCUUCAGGGCAACAGAGAAGCAGCUGAGCAGCCAUAUGUGAUCUGCGACCGUGCAGAAACCAUGCAUCACACCACAGAGACGAAGAAUCGCACCAAGAAUCUUGGAGUAAUAUCAGAGUGAUGCAUUGAAGCAUUUGAGUGUCUGCAAAUGUGCUAUAAACAGAGGGAUGCAUCCAUGCAGAGUGAUCGGAUGGACAUUAAGCCGGAGGACCCAUCUGCCGGCACUGAUCGUUGGCGGAUGUUAAAGAUUGCACAAUGUUCUUCGCAAAGAAUAGGGGCCACUGCUGAGGGCCCCCAGGUACAGAGCUGGUCCCUUUUCAUUUCUCAAGAAGACUUCACCAUUCUUUUUCUUCGACAAAGUCAAGUUGUAUACUUUGACUACUUUUGCUGGCUGAGCAGGCAGUUUACAAGCAAUAACUUCACAUAAUAAUCAAGUAAAUGAAUUUUUUUUUCUGAAACAGUUAACAGCUGAAGGCACAACAUUGCCAUUUGUCCUCAUUGUUAACCCGUAUACACUCUGAUUAUGUACCCCAUGACAAACAUCUGAGAAACUCAGCCUGCUUUGAGUUGCAUCACCCCGACAUUUACAACACCAGAAGGGAUUUUGAAAGGAUUCAUGGAACGGGAAAUGUACUGUAGUAGUCAUUGUGCUGUCUC
rnacentral:lncRNA from 1 species